rnacentral:rRNA from 1 species
UACGGAGGGGGCUAGCGUUGUUCGGAAUUACUGGGCGUAAAGCGCACGUAGGCGGCUUCGUAAGUCAGAGGUGAAAGCCUGGAGCUCAACUCCAGAACUGCCUUUGAGACUGCGUCGCUCGAAUCCGGGAGAGGUGAGUGGAAUUCCGAGUGUAGAGGUGAAAUUCGUAGAUAUUCGGAAGAACACCAGUGGCGAAGGCGGCUCACUGGACCGGCAUUGACACUGAGGCACGAGAGCAUGGGUAGCGAACAGG